rnacentral:lncRNA from 1 species
GUCAUGAUAGAGACAGCUGUGCGACCCCAGGCACUCAAAUGGGAGAGACUCCCAGCAGACACCAGGCAUUCUAAUGAGAGAGAUUCCUGGCUGAACCCAGGCAGUCAAAUGAUAAAGACAUCUGGUCAAAACCAGGCAUUCUAAAGGGAGAGACUCCUGGCUAACCCCAGGCAGUCUAACAGUAGACACCUGGGCAACCUCAGUCAUUCUAAUGGGAGAGGCUCAGCCCACCCCAGUGAUUCUAAUGGGAGAGACUUGUCUGAUCCCAGGCAGUUUAAGGUUAGAGACUCCUGAGCAACACCCAGGCAUUCUAAUAUGAGAGACUCCCGGCUGACAUAAGGAAGUCUAAAGAUAGAGACACCUGGGCAACCAGAGGCAUUCUAAUGGGAGAGACUCUCAUGCGAUCCCAGGCAGUCUUAUGAUAGAGACACCUAGGCAAUCACAGGCAUUUUAAUGGGAGAGACUCCCGGUCAUCCAGAGGCAUUGUAAUGAUGGAGACAUCUGGAAGAUGGCAAGCAUUGUAAUGAUAGGGACACCUGUGUGACCCCAGGCACAUAAAUGGGAGAAACUCCCAGCCAACACCAGGCAUUCUAAUAAGAGAGAUUCCUGGCCGACCCCAGGUGGUCAAAUGAUAAAGACACGUAAGCGAAACCAGGCAUUCUAAUGAGAGAGACUCCUGGCUAACCCCAGGCAGUCUAAUAAUAGAGACACGUGGGCAACCCCAGUCAUUCUAAUGGGAGAGACUCCCAGCCACCCUCAGUGAUUCUAAUGGAAGAGACUCUUGUCUGACCCUAGGCAGGUGAGAUUCCUGGGUGACUCCAGGCAUUCUAAUAAGACAAAUUCCCAGCCCAAGCAAGACAGUCUAAGGAUACACAGCUGAGCAACAUCAGGCAUUUUAAUGGGAGAGAAUCCUGGCUGAAUCCAGACAGUCUAAUUAUACAGACUCCUGGGUGACCGCAGGCAUUCUAAUGAAAGAGACUCCCAGCUGAACCCAGGCAGUGUGAUUAUAGAGACACUUAGGUGACCCCAGACUUUCUAAUGGGAGAGACUCCCGGAUGACCCCAUUCUAAUGAUAGAGACACCUGUGCGACCCCAGGCUGUCUAAUGAUAGAGACACCUGGGGAACCUGAGGCAUUCUUAUGGGAGAGGCCCAGGGCCAACCCCAGGUAUUCUAAUGAUAGAGACACUGGGCGACACUAGACAUUUUAAUGAGAGAGACAACCAACCAGCCCAAGGCAGUCUAAUGAUACAAACACCUGGUCGACCCCAGGCAUUCUACUGAAAGAAACUCCUGGCCAAACCCUGGCAUUCUAAUGGAGAGACUCCUGGCUGACCACAGGCAGUCUAAUGAUAGAGACACUUGAGUGACCCCAGACAUUAUAAUGGAAGAGACUCCUGGCCGACAUCUUGCAGUCUAAUUUAAGUGACAACUGAGUGAACACAGGCAUUCUAAUGGGAGAGACUCCUGGCUGACCAAGGCAGUCUGUGGAUAGAGACACCUGGGUGACCCCAGGCAUUCUAAUGGGAAAGAUUUCUAGUUGACCACUGGCAGUCUAAUUAUAGAGACACAUGGGAGACCCCGGGCAUUCUAAUGAAAGAGACUCCUGGCCAACCCCAGGCAAUCUAAUGAUAGAGGCACCUGGGCGACCCCAGGCAUUCUAAUGGGAGAGACUCCUGGCCAACCUCAGUGAUUCUAAUGGAAAAGACUCUUGUCCGCCUUCAGGCUAUCUAAGGAUAAAAGCUCCUUGGUACCUCCAGGCAUUCUAAUGAGAGGGACUCCCAGCCAAAUCCAGGCAGUCUAAUGAUAGAGACACUUGGGUGACCCCAGGCAUUUUAACAGGAGAGACUCCUGACCUGCCCCAGGCAGUUUAAUUUUACACACUUCUGGGAGACCCCAGACAUUGUAAUGAAAAAGACCCCCGGCCAACCCCAGGCAGUGUGAUGAUAGAGACAAUUGGGCUACUCCAGGCAUUCUAAUGGGAGAGGCUCCCAGACAACCUUAGGCAUUCUAAUGAUAGAGACACUUCUGUGACUCCAGACAGUCUAAUGGGAGUGACUGCAGUCAAACCCACACAUUCUAAUAGGGGAGACUCCCUGCCAACCUCAGGCAGUCUAAUGAUAGAGAUACCAGGGCGACCCCAGGCAUUGUAAUGAGAGCGACUGCUUGCUGACCUAAGGCAAUGUAAUGAUAGACACACCUGGGAGACCCCAGGCAUUCUAAUGGGAGAGAUUCCUAGUUGACCACAGUCAGUCUAAUUAUACAGACAGCAGGGCUACCCCAGGCAUUCUAAUGGGAUAGGCUCCUGGCCCACCCCAGGCAGUCUAAUGAUAGAGACAUAUAGGUGACCACAAGCAUUCUAAUGAAAGAGACUCCUGGCUGACCCCAGGCAGUCUAAUGAACAGAAGAAACUCCUGGCCAAACCCAGGCAGUCUAAUUAUGCAGAGUCCUGGGAGACCCCAGGCAUUCUAAUGAAAAAGACUCCCAGCCAAACCCAGGCAAAGUGAUGAUAGAGAAACUUGGGUGACUGCAGGCUUUCUAAUGGGACAGACUCCUGGCUGAUCCGAGGCAUUCUAAUGAUAGAGACACUUGGGCGACCACAGGCAUUAUAAUAUAAUGAUAGAGACACCUUUGCCACCCCAGGCAGUCUAAUGAUAGAGAUACAUUGGUGACCCCAGGGAUUCUAAUAGGAGAGACUCUUGCUUAAACACAAUGAUUCUAAUAGAAGAGACUUGUGUCCUACUCGAGGCAGUCUAAGGAUAGAGACUCCUGGGUGAUCCCAGCAUUCUAAUGGGAGAGACUCCUGGCAGAACCCAGGGAAUCUAAUGAUAGAGACACCAGGGUGACCCCAGAAAUUCUAAUGGGUGAGAUUUUUGGCCGACAAUAGGCAGUUCAAUUAUACAGACUCCUGGGCAAUCCCCAGCAUUUUAAUGGGAGACACUACCCAUGGACCCCAGGCAGUCUAAUUAUAGAGACAAUUGAAUGACACCACGCAUUCU